rnacentral:rRNA from 1 species
GGACUACUGGGGUAUCUAAUCCUGUUUGCUCCCCACGCUUUCGCGCCUCAGCGUCAGUCUCGGUCCAGAGCGCCGCCUUCGCCACCGGUGUUCUUCCCAAUAUCUACGAAUUUCACCUCUACACUGGGAAUUCCACGCUCCUCUCCCGAACUCCAGCCCCGCCGUCUCGCGCGCACCUCCCAGGUUGAGCCCGGGGCUUUCACACGCGACAAACAGAGCCGCCUACGCGCCCUUUACGCCCAGUGAUUCCGAACAACGCUCGCCCCCUUCGUAUUACCGCGGCUGCUGGCAC